GAUUUUGAAGAAUUUAUGAAGUACCUUAAAGACCAUGAGAAGAAAAUGAAGUUGGCAUUUAAGAGUUUAGACAAAAAUAAUGAUGGAAAAAUUGAGGCUUCAGAAAUUGUCCAGUCUCUCCAGACACUGGGUCUGACUAUUUCUGAACAACAAGCAGAGUUGAUUCUUCAAAGCAUUGAUGUUGAUGGGACAAUGACAGUGGACUGGAAUGAAU
rnacentral:misc_RNA from 1 species